UUCCGUGACCACCGCAGCAUUGCUCCCAGUGGGCACUUCUGUGACCACCGCAGCGUUACUCACAGUAGGCAGGAUACCGAAAUAGCCAAGCACAAGACGCGAAAGGCUAUGGAUCUGAGGUUUCCUCAGUGGAAUGAUGAUGUGGGGCGCUGGAUUGAAGCCGGGGCUCCUGGCGAGUGCGUGAGAUGAAGUGGAAGCAGAAGAAUCAGGUGGUGGUUUAGGAACUCGCAACAACCCCACUUCCGGGGAAAGGAAGAAUAGUCAUUUCCACUUAGCCUUAGUUUUGCUUUCCAAGCUCUCAAUUACCUGCGGUCACAACCUCAGUCAGAAAAUAUUAAAUUAAAAAAAAUUCCAGAAAUAAACAAUUCCCAAGUUUUAA